rnacentral:rRNA from 1 species
GAUGAACGCUAGCGGCAGGCCUAACACAUGCAAGUCGAGGGGUAGAAGUUUUCGGACUUUGAGACCGGCGCACGGGUGCGUAAUGCGUAUGCAAUCUGCCUUGUACUGAGGGAUAGCCCAGAGAAAUUUGGAUUAACACCUCAUAGUAUUUUAGUGUGGCAUCACAUUAUUAUUAAAGGUUACGGUACAAGAUGAGCAUGCGUCCCAUUAGCUAGUUGGUAUGGUAACGGCAUACCAAGGCUACGAUGGGUAGGGGUCCUGAGAGGGAGAUCCCCCACACUGGUACUGAGACACGGACCAGACUCCUACGGGAGGCAGCAGUGAGGAAUAUUGGUCAAUGGGCGCAAGCCUGAACCAGCCAUGCCGCGUGCAGGAUGAAGCUUCUAUGGUGUGUAAACUGCUUUUGUACGGGAAGAAACACUCCCUCGUGAGGGGACUUGACGGUACCGUAAGAAUAAGGAUCGGCUAACUCCGUGCCAGCCGCCGCCGUAACAC